GGGUAUCUAAAAUACUACCGUACGCACACACACACAGGAUCAUCACAACUAAAACACACGAUUUAGGGGUUUCUUCUUCCUUCUUCGAUUUUUUUCCUCUCCCUCUCUCUGAUUUCAGAGCCGCCGAACCCGAAGAACCUUUCCUUUCCUCUGCGUGAAGCCAUUGUUGCAGCCAUCCUUGUUCUUCUUCAGCCGUCGCGCCGUCGUCCUCGUCACGCAAGCAGGCAAGAAGGGCAUUGCGGGCUUUGAGGGGGUUGGUGAGGUUGAAAUCAUUGAUAGAGGGCCAAUCUGUUAAACGGCAAGCAACUACCACACUAAGAUGCAUGCAGACUCUUGCUCGUGUGCAGUCUCAGAUUCGUGCAAGGAGAAUCAGAAUGUCCGAGGAGAAUCAGGCACUACAGCGACAGCUCCAACACAAACAAGAGAAAGAGCUUGAGAAAUUCAAAGCUUCUAUAUUAUGAGUUCAUCCACACCUAGCACCAUAGCUCCAACUACUUUUCAAUGUUAGGAGGAAUUUAAUUUGGGUUGUAAUGUAUAUUUGGAUUGAAUUUGGGUUGUAUUUGGCUAGUAAUUUAUUUUGGAACUUAUUUUGUUGAAGUUUGAUUUAAUUUGGGUUGUAAUUUAUAUGAAGUUGGAUUUAAUUUGGAUUGUAUUUUUGUUGAAGUUGGAUUCAUUUUGAUGAUGUUGAAGUUGGAUUGAAUUUGGAUUGAAUUUUUGUUGAAGUUGGAUUCAUUUGAAUUUGGAUUGUAUUUUUGUUGAAGUUGGAUUCAUUUUAAUGUGUUGAAAGCUUGAUGGAACCUCAAAUUUGGGGUAUGUUAGUAUAUAAAAUACAUUUUGGGCAGAUUUGUUAAAAUUUAAAAAAAAAAAAAAAAAAAAAAAAAAA